CAAAAAUCAUUUUCUUUCAGGAAGACAUACUUGAAUCGUUCAUUCCUAAGAUUGAGGAGGUUGUGAAGAAAAAUUGUGAACAGUAUAAAAAAAUAGGAGGUUACUUCUUCCAAAACGAACUCUUGGUCAAGUAUACCAAGACUAUGCCCCAGCUGCCAUCUU